CUAAGCGCACAGCUCAGUAACACGUGGCCAACCUGCCCUUGGGACGGAAACACCCCCGGGAAACUGGGGCUAAUUUCCGAUAGGUGAAGACUCCUGGAAUGGAUUUUCGCUCAAAGGGCGCCUAGGGCAUGCUCCUGUGCGUUGCCCAAGGAUGGGGCCGCGGCCGAUCAGGUUGUUGGUGAGGUAAUGGCCCACCAAGCCUUUAACCGGUACGGGCCGUGGGAGCGGUAGCCCGGAGAUGGGCACUGAGACAAGGGCCCAGGCCCUACGGGGCGCAGCAGUCGCGAAAACUUCGCAAUAAGCGAAAGCUUGACGGGGCCAUCCCGAGUGCCAUCUGCUGAGGAUGGCUUUUACCCAGUAUAGAUAGCUGGGGGAAUAAGGAGAGGGCAAGUCUGGUGUCAGCCGCCGCGGUAAUACCAGCUCUCCGAGUUGUAGGGAUGUUUAUUGGGCCUAAAGCAUCCGUAGCCGGCUGGACAAGUCCCCUGUUAAAUCCAGCGACCAAUCGUUGUUCUGCGGGGGAUACUGUCCGGCUAGGGGGCGGGAGAGGCCGUCGGUAUUCUUGGGGUAGGGGUGAAAUCCUAUUAUCCCAGGAGGACCACCAGUGGCGAAGGCUGUCGGCUAGAUCGCGCCCGACGGUGAGGGAUGAAAGCUGGGGGAGCGAACCGGAUUAGAUACCCGGGUAGUCCCAGCUGUAAACGAUGCAGGCUAGCUGUUAGGUCGUUAUUGUGCCGCGCUAGUGCCGCAGUGAAUCUGUUAAGCCUGCCGCCUGGGGAUUACGACUGCGUUUCUGACCUUCAAGUUCA
rnacentral:rRNA from 1 species